UGAUGGCCCUUUUUGCUAAAAAAAGAUACGCCUAUCGUGCCACUCGUCUUUAAAACGAGGGUACAAUUCCAUAUCCGCCUUCUAGCAUAUGGUUUGUAGGGAACAUUUGAUCCACGUCGACAUCCGCAUUAGUUCUUUUUGCGAAACGGCCUUUGAUCCUAGGCCUUGUUUCCGCAUAAGCUUUUCUUGAUGCAUAGCGGAUAGUUUUUUCAAAUUUUCUUGUUUUCUUUUUCUCUCUGUACCUCAAGACCCGUGCCUCUCGAUCCAUUGGAGUGAGUUGGGUUGCCACUUGAACCGGAGGGUUUGAGAAUAGGUCGAUCGUACCUUUCGAGGGUCUAGGAUGUGAGAAUGAAGCCUCGGUUAUUGUCGAAUCAGGUACAACUCCAACUUCCAUUGAUGACAUGGAAACCUAGAAAAUUUCAAAAAAUCAAAGGUGGUCAACUCUAUGUUCAACAUUGAAAGUGUGAAACGGUUAUACAAUGUAUAUGUUUGACCAUGUGUUAUACAAGGUUCUUCUCAACACAUAGCUUAAUCAACAAAACGUAUUUAACUAUAACGUGUAACUAGAAAGAGAGAGAUACUCAAAGAAACCGUGUGGUCCACGUCUUUUGGUUGACAUCUAUAUGUAUUCAAGAAAAAUUAAAUGAACAUAAAUUUUCAAAAAAGGAUAAUAGUCAAAUAUAGGUACCGUCUAAAAGUAGGAGAAUGCAAAGAAAAGAAUAACAUGAUUUUAGCUUUUAAGGGAAAGAAAAUUGCUUAUAUGUAAAAAGAUAAAGACACGAAAAUAAACUUUACUUUUUACUAUGUUAAGGAGACAGGUUAGAGGACGGUUAGAUCAUCGAUCUCGGAAAGAAUGGAUUAACCCUACUUGA
rnacentral:lncRNA from 1 species